ACACAUGCAGUCGAGGGGUAGAACACUUCGGUGUUUGAGACCGGCGCACGGGUGCGUAACGCGUAUGCAAUCUACCUUGUACAGGGGAAUAGCCCAGAGAAAUUUGGAUUAAUGCCCCAUGGUAUUAUUAGAUGGCAUCAUUUAGUAAUUAAAGUUUUAAUGGUACAAGAUGAGCAUGCGUCCCAUUAGUUAGUUGGUAAGGUAACGGCUUACCAAGACGAUGAUGGGUAGGGGUCCUGAGAGGGAGAUCCCCCACACUGGUACUGAGACACGGACCAGACUCCUACGGGAGGCAGCAGUGAGGAAUAUUGGUCAAUGGGCGCAAGCCUGAACCAGCCAUGCCGCGUGCAGGAAGACGGUCCUAUGGAUUGUAAACUGCUUUUAUACAGGAAGAAACACUCCCUCGUGAGGGAGCUUGACGGUACUGUAGGAAUAAGGGUCGGCUAACUCCGUGCCAGCAGCCGCGGUAAUACGGAGGAUCCAAGCGUUAUCCGGAAUCAUUGGGUUUAAAGGGUCCGUAGGCGGUUUUAUAAGUCAGUGGUGAAAUCCAGCAGCUCAACUGUUGAACUGCCAUUGAUACUGUAAGACUUGAAUUUUUAGGAAGUAACUAGAAUAUGUAGUGUAGCGGUGAAAUGCUUAGAUAUUACAUGGAAUACCAAUUGCGAAGGCAGGUUACUACUAAAGGAUUGACGCUGAUGGACGAAAGCGUGGGGAGCGAACAGGAUUAGAUACCCUGGUAGUCCACGCCGUAAACGAUGGAUACUAGCUGUUCGGCGCAAGCUGAGUGGCUAAGCGAAAGUGAUAAGUAUCCCACCUGGGGAGUACGCACGCAAGUGUGAAACUCAAAGGAAU
rnacentral:rRNA from 1 species